AGAUUACACAAGCCAGUAACGUCUGGAUCUGUGCACAGAUGAAGCAUCAGACUAGCAAAUGCCGGAGGAUAAACAGGACUUCCAUUCCUGCAGCUGCCAUAUCGAGUGUUGAGAUGUUUCUAUCAAAAAUGUGACCGACUCUUUCAUUAGGGCCUUAUCCAAAACCUGGUGGAGAGCUAGGCUUAAGUUGACCGAUCCCUGCUUUGCUCCUCCGAUCAAUUUUCCAAUACGGCUGAAGCAGCAGCACCUCAUCCGAAUUCACACGAGGAGAGAUUAAUCUGUGCCACCUGCUGAUACAGAAGCUAGGUUUGCGGGAACUUGUAUUUAGUACUUUCUCUAUUACAUCUCUCAAAGUGUUUUUCAUGAUAACAGGUGCCUGUGAGAUAAGAGAGACUGAAAAAUAAUCAUUUGUUCUGAGGAACUGGCAAAUUGCUGGCAAGCGCAAGAGGUUAGUGUUAAAAAUGGGGCUGAUGUUUUUAGAGCACAAUAAACUAGACUGAUUUAACAACACCAUAACAGUCUUUGACUGAAAGCAUAUAACUGAUCUUCAGUAGGUUUUUUAUUUAAUUAUUUAUUUAUAGUGUUGCCGAUUAUUUCAGAAAUCUGCCGUUGUGCCCUUGAGCAAAGCCACUUAACCUCAGGUUGCUCCAGGGGUUUGCCCCUGUAUAAAUUCAUGGCGUACUUCUAUGGUGACAUUGCGUGAAAGUCGUGGAAAGGAAUUGCAGCAGUCCUAGGAACCUGUAGUCCUCUAUCUAUAUACAACCCAGGCUCAUUGGAAAUGCGUGAAUCUGCAUAUAUUUCAGCAAUACUGCAAAAACGUACAUAUACAUACAAUUCACUGCAGUUUCCAGGCAGAAAAACUCCAACAACUGUUAUUCCUUUUCAGACAAAUUUUGAUUAUUGGGGCAAAUUAUCAAUGAAGACUUUUUUUUGUGUAGUUCCUUACAUAAUAUCAUGUCAUGAUCUCAUAGUGCAUGAUUUGUAAACUAAUACAUAACCAGCUCCAUAUGUAUUCUAAGGUAGUAAACUUGCUUGGUUGCUCUUCUGAUACAAUUUUUCACUUGCAAUGCAGGGGGCUCUGGUACAAGUCCUGUCAAACAUAAGUCACGAUAUUCCACAUAGAGCUCAAAGCAUCUUAAAAGGAUGCAUGGUUGCUUCAGCAAAUGCAUUUUAUCUCACUUAUCUUGCUUUUGUUAACACUAUCGGUUAGGUUUAGGGUAGGGUUUAGUGUAGGUGGUAAUGCUAUUUAGAGCAUUUUAAGCACCACUCACUGUAUAUUUAAUUUCCGAACUGCCAUGAUGCAUUACAACCAACGUAAUAAAAUGUUGCCAUAGUCACGUUUAACUGAGAAAAUAAAGCAUGCUAUUUAAACGCCACUCACUGGACAUUCAGCUUUAAAAGUGCCAUGAAACAUGCAAUGCUUAUAGUGCCUCUUGUGGAUACUUCACCUGUUUACAUCAGCCGCAUUUCUUAUGCUGUGUA